GAUGAACGCUGGCGGCGUGCCUAAUACAUGCGAGUCGAGCGAACGGACGAGAAGCUUGCUUCUCUGAUGUUAGCGGCGGACGGGUGAGUAACACGUGGAUAACCUACCUAUAAGACUGGGAUAACUUCGGGAAACCGGAGCUAAUACCGGAUAAUAUUUUGAACCGCAUGGUUCAAAAGUGAAAGACGGUCUUGCUGUCACUUAUAGAUGGAUCCGCGCUGCAUUAGCUAGUUGGUAAGGUAACGGCUUACCAAGGCAACGAUGCAUAGCCGACCUGAGAGGGGGACGGCCCACCCUGGAACUGGGCCAGGGCCCAGCCCCCUACGGGGGGCGCCAGUGGGGAUUCUUCCGCAAGGGGCGAAGGCCGGACGGACCAACCCCGCGUGAGUGAUGAAGGUCUUCGGAUCUUAAAACUGUUUUAUUGGGGAAAAACAUAUUUGUAAGUACCUGUGCACACCUGGACGGUCCCUAAUCAGAAGCCCCCGGCUACCUACGUC
rnacentral:rRNA from 1 species